rnacentral:rRNA from 1 species
AGCGAACGCUGGCGGCAGGCCUAACACAUGCAAGUCGAACGAACUCUUCGGAGUUAGUGGCGGACGGGUGAGUAACACGUGGGAACGUGCCUUUUGGUUCGGAAUAACUCAGGGAAACUUGUGCUAAUACCGAAUGUGCCCUUCGGGGGAAAGAUUUAUCGCCAUUAGAGCGGCCCGCGUCUGAUUAGCUAGUUGGUGAGGUAACGGCUCACCAAGGCGACGAUCAGUAGCUGGUCUGAGAGGAUGACCAGCCACACUGGGACUGAGACACGGCCCAGACUCCUACGGGAGGCAGCAGUGGGGAAUCUUGCGCAAUGGGCGAAAGCCUGACGCAGCCAUGCCGCGUGAAUGAUGAAGGUCCUAGGAUUGUAAAAUUCUUUCACCGGGGACGAUAUUGACGGUACCCGGAGAAGAAGCCCCGGCUAACUUCGUG